GAUGAACGCUGGCGGCGUGCCUAAUACAUGCAAGUCGAGCGAACAGAUGAGGAGCUUGCUCCUCUGACGUUAGCGGCGGACGGGUGAGUAACACGUGGAUAACCUACCUAUAAGACUGGGAUAACUUCUGGAAACCGGAGCUAAUACCGGAUAAUAUAUUGAACCGCAUGGUUCAAUAGUGAAAGACGGUUUUGCUGUCACUUAUAGAUGGAUCCGCGCCGCAUUAGCUAGUUGGUAAGGUAACGGCUUACCAAGGCAACGAUGCGUAGCCGACCUGAGAGGGUGAUCGGCCACACUGGAAAUGAGAAAAGGUCCAGACUCAUACGGGAGGCAGCAGUAGGGAAUCUUCCGCAAUGGGCGAAAGCCUGACGGAGCAACGCCGCGUGAGUGAUGAAGGUCUUCGGAUCGUAAAACUCUGUUAUUAGGGAAGAACAAAUGUGUAAGUAACUAUGCACGUCUUGACGGUACCUAAUCAGAAAGCCACGGCUAACUACGUG
rnacentral:rRNA from 1 species